CCUACGGGAGGCAGCAGUGGGGAAUAUUGGGCAAUGGGCGCAAGCCUGACCCAGCAACGCCGCGUGAAGGAAGAAGGCCCUCGGGUUGUAAACUUCUUUUAUUCGGGACGAAACAAAUGACGGUACCGAAGGAAUAAGCCACGGCUAACUACGUGCCAGCAGCCGCGGUAAUACGUAGGUGGCAAGCGUUAUCCGGAUUUACUGGGGGUAAAGGGCGUGUAGGCGGGUGAGCAAGUCAGACGUGAAAUUCCAGAGGUCAACCUCGGCACUACGUCUGAAACUGUUGUACUUGAGUGAAGGAGGGGCAAGUGGAAGGCCGAGGGUAGCGGUGGAAUGCGUAGAUAUUAGGAAGAACACCGGUGGCGAAGGCGAGUUGCUGGACUGUAACUGACACUGAGGCACGAAAGCGUGGGGAGCAAACAGGAUUAGAUACCCGUGUAGUC
rnacentral:rRNA from 1 species